CCUACGGGAGGCAGCAGUAGGGAAUCUUCCACAAUGGGCGAAAGCCUGAUGGAGCAACGCCGCGUGGGUGAAGAAGGUCUUCGGAUCGUAAAACCCUGUUGUUAGAGAAGAAAGUGCGUGAGAGUAACUGUUCACGUUUCGACGGUAUCUAACCAGACAGCCACGGCUAACUACGUGCCAGCAGCCGCGGGAAUACGUAGGUGGCAAGCGUUAUCCGGAUUUAUUGGGCGUAAAGGGAACGCAGGCGGUCUUUUAAGUCUGAUGUGAAAGCCUUCGGCUUAACCGGAGUAGUGCAUUGGAAACUGGGAGACGUGAGUGCAGAAGAGGAGAGUGGAACUCCAUGUGUAGCGGUGAAAUGCGUAGAUAUAUGGAAGAACAACAGUGGCGAAAGCGGCUCUCUGGUCUGUAACUGACGCUGAGGUUCGAAAGCGUGGGUAGCAAACAGGAUUAGAUACCCCGGUAGUC
rnacentral:rRNA from 1 species